rnacentral:rRNA from 1 species
UACGUAGGGUGCAAGCGUUGUCCGGAAUUAUUGGGCGUAAAGAGCUCGUAGGCGGUUUGUCGCGUCUGCUGUGAAAUCCCAGGGCUUAACCCUGGGCCUGCAGUGGGUACGGGCAAACUAGAGUGCGGUAGGGGAGAUCGGAAUUCCUGGUGUAGCGGUGAAAUGCGCAGAUAUCAGGAGGAACACCGGUGGCGAAGGCGGAUCUCUGGGCCGUAACUGACGCUGAGGAGCGAAAGCUAGGGGAGCGAACAGG